rnacentral:rRNA from 1 species
UACGGGGGGGGCAAGCGUUGUUCGGAAUUACUGGGCGUAAAGGGCUCGUAGGCGGCCAACUAAGUCAGACGUAAAAUCCCUAGGCUCAACCUAGGAACUGCGUCUGAUACUGGAUGGCUUGAAUCCGGGAGAGGGAUGCAGAAUUCCAGGUGUAGCGGUGAAAUGCGUAGAUAUCUGGAGGAAUACCGGUGGCGAAGGCGGCAUCCUGGACCGGCAUUGACGCUGAUGUGCGAAAGCUAGGGGAGCAAACGGG